AAAGGUUGGAAAAGGGUUUGAUGGAAAGGGAGUUUUAGAACUUUUUUCAUAGAAAUCUAUACGAUUUACUCAUCCUCCAUCUGUAACUACUAGUAUUGAGGAUGAGGGCCUUCUUCAACCACGCCACUCGUUCCGGCCCAAAAACAGAUUGGAAAGCAAGUUGACGUGGACUUUGGUUAUAUAAAAGGCAAAAUUGCUGGACACUGAAAAAAAAAAAAAGAAGAAAGCAACAUUACGCUCUUUUUCUCUCUCCUCACAAACCAAAAUCGGAGCCCCAAAUUCCAAACCCUAAGCAUAAGUCCCCAUCUCCGGCCCCACUUCCAGCCCUUACUGAAGUCAAAGGUUUCGUUGUCGAUCAACCUACCAUAUUCGAUCAUCGUCGAAGCCCUGACCAUCUCUGAUCGCUGGUAUCAUCAAACCAAUAGACCUUGCAACCUGUUGUUAAGCAAUUACUGCCAUCGCCUCAACCAUCGGAGUGCUCCCUGUACAGGCGCCCAACGAAAAAAGUAAACUUUUUUUUCAGUUUUGCCCAGGUAGUAUGGUGUUUAUUUCAUCAAGCAGUGGUAUUCAUUGUGUUCUUCGAUUUCGAAACUUUAUUGAAUUCGUAUAUUUUUUACUUUAUUGAAUUGUGUUUAAAAUGUAUUUGUUGGGUAUUUAUGCCUGUCCAACUAUAUUAAUUAGCAAAUGUUACUACUACUGUAGUGCAGCUGUGAGAGGUCGUUGUGUGUCUCUCUAUAUAUGAAACUAUCUCCCUGCUACAAGUAUGUUAUAUUUUGGGAUUUUUAUCUGUAACGGUGUAUGUAUUUCUGAAUCAGAGGCUCAAGUCAUGUUUUUGUAUUCUCUAUAAUGUUUUCGUUUUAGAUUUCAAUCUCUGUCUCACAAUUCAGAGCCCCAAGUCAUGUAUUUGCAAUAGUGGUAAAUUUUGGAACUAUAUUGAAUUGGUGGACUGGUGACUAUAUUGAAUUGUGUGUAAACUAUAUUUGUUGGGUAUUUGCAAUAGUGGUAAAUUUUGGAACUAUAUUGAGUUGGUGGAUUAUUGAUUAUAUUGAAUUGUGUUUAAACUAUAUUUGUUGGGUAUUUGUAUUAAUGCAUUUAUUUUAGAACUAUAUUGAAUUGGUGGACUGGUGACUUUACUUUUGUUGUUGGCAGUUGAGAUGGGUUGUUUGAUAGAUUUAAGUGGGGGUUUUAUUGUGUUUAAUCAGAUGUGAUUAGAUGUAUCCUUCAUACUCAAAAUGUACUAGUGAAGUAAAACUAUAUUUGGAAUGCCCGGGAGGAACUCCGAAAUUUGUCAUGGUAGUAGAGCUAAAGAUUACUUCUUUGCCGAGUGCAAAAAGAAAUGCCCUUGCACACCAUGAAAGCUUGGAUUUCGAGAAAUAUUUUGUUGUGGAAAAGGAGACUAACAAAAAAGGACAAUUAUUCCUUUGCUGCAGUAACAAUUGUGAAUUUUGGGAGUGGAUUGUAAAUGAAACAUCAAGUGGCCCGUCGAUGAACGCUGUGAAGAAUGAAACACUUGAAGAAAUGUCCCAUUCAAUCCAAUCUCGAGUUCGAAUAAGUGACGAUAAAGAGCUCUAGAUUUCAUUGAAUGUGAAUGUGAUUAUCCAGACGAAAGAAGUUAACGCGCAAGGGAAUGCGAAAGGAAAGCAGCCUGCUUGAUUAGUAGAUAAUGAUCAAAUAGGUUUUUCCAUAAACUGUUGGAUGUAUAUGACUAAGUUAUGUAUCAACUCUUCUAAUAUUAAGUUAUGUACGAACUCUUCUAAUAUUAAGUUAUGUAUGAAAUCUUACAACUGCAUUUGUUUAUU